rnacentral:lncRNA from 1 species
GGUUAUGCUGAAGGCCUGUUUUCUAGGCUACAGACCAGGGACUAGUUCCUUAUUUUUCCACCUAGGGGAAAGUCCCCUGAUUUCGGGCAGAAAGUGCCAUGUGCACACACACAUAGACAUCCCACUGCUUCCCACUGUAAAGGCCACUAAAAAGCGAAUCCCAAAUGCAUAAGCUAGGAAUCAUGGCAUUCUCUUUGAAUUGUUCACUCCUACAUACAAUACAUAUUAUAGUUCUGUUGCUUCCUGGUACCCCCUCAAGCAUUUC